GGGUGAGUAACGCGUAUCCAACCUGGCCCUUAGUAGGGAAUAGCCCGGCGAAAGUCGGAUUAAUGCCCUAUGUUCUCCGCAGAAGGCAUCUGAAAUGGAGUAAAGAUUGAUCGCUAAGGGAUGGGGAUGCGUCUGAUUAGGUAGUAGGCGGGGUAACGGCCCACCUAGCCUAUGAUCAGUAGGGGUUCUGAGAGGAAGGUCCCCCACAUUGGUACUGAGACACGGACCAAACUCCUACGGGAGGCAGCAGUGAGGAAUAUUGGUCAAUGGGCGCGAGCCUGAACCAGCCAAGUAGCGUGCAGGAUGACUGCCCUAUGGGUUGUAAACUGCUUUUAUCAGGGGAUAAAGUGACGUACGUGUACGUUUUUGUAGGUACCUGAUGAAUAAGGACCGGCUAAUUCCGUGCCAGCAGCCGCGGUAAUACGGAAGGUCCGGGCGUUAUCCGGAUUUAUUGGGUUUAAAGGGAGCGCAGGCGGCAUAUUAAGCGUGACGUGAAAUGCGGCGGCUCAACCGUCGAUGUGCGUCGCGAACUGGUUUGCUUGAGUGCGUGCGAGGAUGGCGGAAUUCGUGGUGUAGCGGUGAAAUGCUUAGAUAUCACGAAGAACUCCGAUUGCGAAGGC
rnacentral:rRNA from 1 species